ensembl:lncRNA
CUGGUGCUGGGGAUGUGCCUGGGGUCACAGCUAAUGGAGGUUCUACACUGAUUUCAUUCUUACUAUCCCUGUGCAGAAUGGAAAAGCUGUGUUCAGCUUAAUGUGGGCAAAGGGCAGAAGGGUACUUCUCUGUAAUAGACAAAUAAUGCUCCAGCAAAGCAGAACUGAAGGACAAGUUUUGAUUCCCUGAGUGCUACAAAAAAAAUAAACCAUCCCUGGAAGGUUUGCAUGAGCCUCACAGGAACAGAAAACCAGAGCAGAUGGAGAUGCAGCAAUGCGAUGGAUGCUGCAAGAAUGCCUUUGGAGGAUGGGCAAGGAAUGAGCAGCAUAUUUGUGUCUGAAAGGAACAAAAAUCAUACAGAACUCCUGAAAUAUACAUCAGAACAUUCAUCCUGCAGCUCAGCCCAGGAGGAAGGCGUUGAGAGGAGAGGCAGCACUCAGUAGAGCCGCCCUCACCCACAGAAACCCAAAUUCAAGCUGGAUUCCUCAUUUUCUCUGGGAAGACUGACAUGGAUGAUUUCAAUGCAGUGGGUUGUUGGGCGCCGUCUUUCAAAUAGGAGUUUUGCAUUAAAAACUGGAAACAAAAUGAAGCCAACUUCAAGUGCUAACCCAGAAAGAGGCUUAACAUCUUCUCCAAUCUAUCUGCUGGUCUUCUUUUGUUUCUAACACUGAAAGCUGAGUUCCGCUGUGUAUCAAAACAACUUUUGAAAUACUGAUAUGGAAGAAAAAGUCUUGUUUUGAAACAGGUCACUUGGAAAUCAAUACUCAAAACAUUACACUACUAUAGAGACUGUCACCUAUAUAAUAAUCCCAUUUACUUGUUAGAAGAAAGCUUAAAUAUUCAGAAGGAAUGAAUUAGCAUAGUGUUUCCAUUGGAAACUAACCAGAGGGUAGGUGUGCUCUUGCAUUUGGGUAGAUGCAGUCAUUCAAACUAUUCUGCUUUGCCCUGCUUUCCUCUGCUGAGGGGGUCAGAACAAAUAAAACACUUUAAUUCGGUUUAUAUUCCAUUUCAUUUUUCCAAUCCCAGAUAGUUAACCACGCUAUACAGAGCCAACAGAAUUGGUUAAACACCGGUGUCUCACUGGCACGCUCACACGCAUUGCAGAUACAUACACAGACAUAUGGAAUGUGUGCAGAAAAUGAACUGUGAAUCAGUUAAACGUAGAAGGCAGGAUUCCCACACAUCCACUAGAAGGCAAUUAGGGAGGAGGCAGCGGCUGAGGAACAGCCAG